rnacentral:lncRNA from 1 species
AUUGUGCAUACUGGAUAAAGCCGGUGGUAAAAACAGGUGAUAUGCCACCUCUCCAACCUUGUCCGAAAUCUCAAAUGGACCAACAUACUUAUAGCUCAAUUUACCAUGAACCCUAAAUCUCAUCACUCCUCUAGUGGGUGACACUCAAGAAAACAUGAUCCCCAAUUUAAAAUUUCAGUUUUCUCCUUCUAUUAUCAGCAUAAGUCUUUUGACGACUCUGAGCUGUACGAAGUCGUUCUUUGGUCACUUGCACCUUAUCUAUGGUCUAUUGCACUAUUUCUGGGCCUAAUAAUUUUCUCUCGUCCACAUCAUUCCAACAAAUAGGAGAUUCAUGUUAAAACAUUCCAGGUCUAAGCCCAACCAAGUAAUCAUCAACCGUUAAUGCUAAAUUUAAGAUGCCCAAGUUCUUCCAAAACUUGUCAACAAUAGAAGAACCCACUGGUGAAAAUUAUAUAGCUACCUCUAGAUCAUCCAUAGAAUUAACAACAUUCUCCUCUACUAGAAACUAACUCAAAUGUUCCAUCAUAAUACCUUUUAGAUCAAAUAUUAAUGUCCUUAACCAGUUUCAAAAUAACUCAAACCACCACACUUCCGCUGCGCACUCUGAUUUAAUCCUUUAAAUACUCUAAAGCCUCUAAAUAAUUUAUGACCGAAAUAUCACUUUGCUUUAGGAGUAAGAAAAUCCAAAUUUCAAAACUUUAAUUGAGCAGAACCUCCAGAUCUCUCUGUCCUCAAUUUAUGUAGAG